CUGGUUGUCCAUACCACCCUGAACGCACGCGAUCUCAUCUGAUCUCAGACACUAAGCAGGGUCUGGCCUGGUUAGUUCUUGGAAUGAUUUGC
rnacentral:rRNA from 1 species